GUACUUAACUAGACAGGGUAAAUGAGUGAUCAUGAAAGCCCAUGGCUUAGAUUAGUGACUUCCAUUUUACUUUGGAGGGGCUCCCACCUAAGGUCGGCCCAAGUAGCGGAGCCUACGUCGUAAUUUGUUGGCAGUGGGGUCCUUAGUUCUUGUGGACCCUA